AUGAGAACACUGGAAGUAAUGGAAGGUGAAGGCUCCCACAGCCAUGGUUGUCUCUUACAGAGAGGAUCCAAACACCCCCCAGGAGUCUUGCAAAACCUUUGGCCAUGGCCUGGCCAAUUCUCUUGCAGGGAAGACAGACACAGAGACAGGGAAUCCAUGGGGAAAAGUCUAGAACCUGGAGGAGGAUGCUAUCGUGGCUUGUUGCCUAGCAACCACAACUGGGUGCCUGUGGGUACAGCCCAUGAGGACAGCAGAGAAGAGGAACACCAGGGCUCUCUUGGCACCAAGCUAAGCUCCAUCUGCCCUACACAGGCCCACCUUGACUAUGCAGCGAGAUUCUCCAGGUGCCAUGGCUGGAAGAAGAGAAUUCUGCACCGUCACCAGCUCAGAGGCCAGGCUGCUGAGCCCAGCCAGAAAGAACUACCACAGUCCCAGCGGCCCAUGCCAGGAGCCCUGGGCCCCACACCUUUGAGGAUGCAGCUCUGGCUGCCUGGACCGCUUCCACAUCCGCCUUAUUCACCUGACUGUUACUUGCUCUUCAGGAUUCAGCUUGAGCAUCGCCUCCCCAGAGAGCUCCAGCCUCCUCCAGCUGGGUGAGGCUCCCCUGAGUGUCCCCAUGAGCCUUGCGAUCACACUGCUCUCUCAAAUCCGAUUGCUUCUCUCUGAGGACAGGGACACAUGUCGGUACCCUCUUUUCCUAGCACAACACCUAACACGUACGUUGAUGGAACAGAGACAUAAGCCUCAGCCAUUCUUGCUCAUUGCCCAAAAGGUAGAUAAACAUUCAAAUGUAUUCCUUGCCCUUGAAUCUCAACUGGGUCUCACAUCCUAUUGCCUUCAUACCCCACCCGCCAACUGAGAGACCACUUGCUAGAACAUUUGAAAGACCAGUUCCAGGAAUUCCCUUCUGCCUGCUGCCCCCUACCCCACCCCCACCCCUAGCCCUCCUAAAAUAUAAAAAGGCUGGGCCCCUGGGGGUCCCAUCAUGUCCACGCUGGCUGUUGGUCAACCACCUCUGUGGAUAUAUUUUCUCUGAAUAAAUUCAGUCU
rnacentral:lncRNA from 1 species